rnacentral:lncRNA from 1 species
GUGAAUAAUAGGCUCUUCUGUUUUGAGAAAGAAUUAAAACAAAACUUGCUAAAGCUUAUUCCUGAAACUAAGGCAGAGGGACAGAGUGGAAUCUCCAGAGUGCUGCCUAGAACAUCUCCAUUAGUAGUCAAUGCUUAGUGCAGCAAAGAACUAUGUAUCUGCGGAGUGAAGAAUAGCAGAAAAAACCAAUUCCUUCUUGAGACAGACAAUUUGGCGCAGCAGGAGGAGCACUGGAAGGGGAAUGCAGAGACCUGUUUUGGAACAGCAGUUCUAGCCUUUACCCUUGUUGGGACCUAGCUAGAAGGGGAGAGUAUUUCAAGGAAUUCACAGCACAAGAUUCAAAGGAAGCAGGCUGCUUUCUUGCAGCAAGACAAGGCAAGUUGGAAGAGAGGAUUAUUUUUCUUCUUCAAAGCUCUCACCCUCAGGAGGAUUCCUAUCAACUACUUUGGGAAAGAGUGCUGCAAAUACCGAAAGUCACAGUGGAUGUUAUGCUGGGUCAGAUUGAUGGCUAGGAGUGGGGAGCAGCUCAUAACAUUUCCUGACUAUCUUGUUGGCUUUUGGAAGACGCACGUCCAAAGCAAAUGAAAUCGGGAGUCGAGGGCGC